rnacentral:snRNA from 1 species
AUGGUCACACGACCACCACAUAUACUGAAAGUGGAGUGAUACAAUGAUUAGCAUUCCCCUGUACAGAGAUAGCAUGCAAACUCACGAGUUGGUUCAUGUUUUU